UACGUAGGUGACCAGCGUUGUCCGGAUUUACUGGGCGUAAAGAGCGCGCAGGCGGUCGUUCAAGUCGAGUGUGAAAGCCCCCGGCUCAACUGGGGAGGGUCACUCGAUACUGAUCGACUUGAAGGCAGGAGAGGGAAGCGGAAUUCCUGGUGUAGCGGUGAAAUGCGUAGAUACCAGGAGGAACACCGGUGGCGAAGGCGGCUUCCUGGCCGAGUACUGACGCUGAGGCACGAAAGCGUGGGGAGCGAACGGG
rnacentral:rRNA from 1 species